rnacentral:rRNA from 1 species
AGAGUUUGAUCCUGGCUCAGAUUGAACGCUGGCGGUAUGCUUAACACAUGCAAGUCGAACGGAAACGAUGUUAGCUUGCUAACAGGCGUCGAGUGGCGGACGGGUGAGUAACGCGUAGGAAUCUACCAAGUAGUGGGGGAUAGCCCGGAGAAAUCCGGAUUAAUACCGCAUAAUCUCUACGGAGUAAAGAGGGCCUCUAUUUAUAAGCUUUCGCUAUUUGAUGAGCCUGCGUAAGAUUAGCUUGUUGGUGAGGUAAAAGCUCACCAAGGCAACGAUCUUUAGCUGGUCUGAGAGGAUGAUCAGCCACACUGGGACUGAGACACGGCCCAGACUCCUACGGGAGGCAGCAGUGGGGAAUAUUGGACAAUGGGCGCAAGCCUGAUCCAGCAAUACCGCGUGUGUGAAGAAGGCCUGAGGGUUGUAAGGCACUUUCAAUUGUGAAGAAAAGCUAAAGAUUAAUACUCUUUAGCC